rnacentral:rRNA from 1 species
GAUGAACGCUGGCGGCGUGCCUAAUACAUGCAAGUCGAGCGAACGGACGAGAAGCUUGCUUCUCUGAUGUUAGCGGCGGACGGGUGAGUAACACGUGGAUAACCUACCUAUAAGACUGGGAUAACUUCGGGAAACCGGAGCUAAUACCGGAUGAUAUUUUGAACCGCAUGGUUCAAGAGUGAAAGACGGUCUUGCUGUCACUUAUAGAUGGAUCCGCGCUGCAUUAGCUAGUUGGUAAGGUAACGGCUUACCAAGGCAACGAUGCAUAGCCGACCUGAGAGAGUGAUCGGCCACACUGGAACUGAGACACGGUCCAGACUCCUACGGGAGGCAGCAGUAGGGAAUCUUCCGCAAUGGGCGAAAGCCUGACGGAGCAACGCCGCGUGAGUGAUGAAGGUCUUCGGAUCGUAAAACUCUGUUAUUAGGGAAGAACAUAUGUGUAAGUAACUGUGCACAUCUUGACGGUACCUAAUCAGAAAGCCACGGCUAACUACGUG